rnacentral:rRNA from 1 species
AGUAAGGCAUCGGAACGUACCGAGUAGUGGGGGAUAACUGUCGGAAAGGAUGGCUAAUACCGCAUACGCUUUGAGAAGGAAAGCGGGGGAUCUUCGGACCUCGCGCUAUUCGAGCGGCCGAUGUUUGAUUAGCUAGUUGGUGGGGUAAAGGCCUACCAAGGCGACGAUCAGUAGCGGGUCUGAGAGGAUGAUCCGCCACACUGGGACUGAGACACGGCCCAGACUCCUACGGGAGGCAGCAGUGGGGAAUUUUGGACAAUGGGCGCAAGCCUGAUCCAGCCAUGCCGCGUGUCUGAAGAAGGCCUUCGGGUUGUAAAGGACUUUUGUCAGGGAAGAAAAGCUUGAGGCUAAUACCCUUGAGUGAUGACGGUACCUGAAGAAUAAGCACCGGCUAACUACGUGCCAGCAGCCGCGGUAAUACGUAGGGUGCGAGCGUUAAUCGGAAUUACUGGGCGUAAAGCGGGCGCAGACGGUUACUUAAGUCAGAUGUGAAAUCCCCGGGCUCAACCUGGGAACUGCGUUUGAAACUGGGUAGCUAGAGUAUGUCAGAGGGGGGUAGAAUUCCACGUGUAGCAGUGAAAUG